rnacentral:rRNA from 1 species
UACGGAGGGAGCUAGCGUUGUUCGGAAUUACUGGGCGUAAAGCGCACGUAGGCGGACUUUUAAGUCAGGGGUGAAAUCCCAGAGCUCAACUCUGGAACUGCCUUUGAUACUGGGUGUCUUGAGUAUGGAAGAGGUGAGUGGAAUUCCGAGUGUAGAGGUGAAAUUCGUAGAGAUCGGCAGGAACACCCAGGGGGAAACCAGUGGACUGGGCAUGAGCUGACGCUCAGGUGCGAAAGCGUGGGGAGCGAACCGG